rnacentral:rRNA from 1 species
GUGCCAGCCGCCGCGGUAAUACGUAGGGGGCAAGCGUUGUCCGGAAUUAUUGGGCGUAAAGCGCGUGUAGGCGGCCAAGUAGGUCUGCUGUGAAAACUCGAGGCUCAACUUCGAGAUGUCGGCGGAAACCAUUUGGCUAGAGUCCGGAAGAGGAGAGUGGAAUUCCUGGUGUAGCGGUGAAAUGCGCAGAUAUCAGGAAGAACACCCGUGGCGAAGGCGGCUCUCUGGGACGGUACUGACGCUGAGACGCGAAAGCGUGGGGAGCGAACAGGAUUAGAUACCCUCGUAGUCC